UACAGAGGGUGCGAGCGUUAAUCGGAAUUACUGGGCGUAAAGCGUGCGUAGACGGCUAUCUAAGUCGGGUGUGAAAGCCCCGGGCUCAACCUGGGAAUUGCAUUCGAGACUGAAUAGCUAGGGUACGGUAGAGGGAAGCGGAAUUUCCGGUGUAGCGGUGAAAUGCGUAGAUAUCGUAAGGAAGACCAGUGGCGAAGGCGGGUCUCUGGACAGUUCCUGACGCUGAGGCACGAAGGCCAGGGGAGCAAACGGG
rnacentral:rRNA from 1 species